UUGUCUAGUGUUAAGGAUUCCUGGCUUUCAUCCAGGCGGGCCCGGGUUCAAUUCCCGGCAAAGGAA